UUGUGUAUAAACCAGUGGUCAACAUUGGGUAUCUUCUUCUAUUGUUUCUACAUUUAUUGAUUGAAUAAUUGUUUGAUUGAUGAUCGAUCGAUUGAUUGAUUGGUGUCUUUGGUUGAGGUUUUCACUGAGACUGAAGCCCACCGACUGACUGAUCAGUGAGAUUCCAGGAUUCUCGCAUCUCUGCUUCUUAGUGCUCAGACUUCAGGUGCACCCAUAGCAGCUGAAUUCAUAUGUGACUGCUGGAGAUGACUCAUGAUUCAUAACUGACCCCUGACACACUGAGCAUCUACUUAGCCUCUAAAGAUUAUUAUGUCAUUCCGCUUACUAUUUUACAGACUAUGAACAAACAGGGAUCUUUAAUAAUUCUGAUCUACUAUCCUUCACCAUGUGAUUUAAAACUAACUUUGUUCAUUGCAGAAUUUAGAUAGACCAACACACUCACUAAGAAAGGAAGAUAAUUUCAGAUCCCAGUGGUUUGCGGGGAAAUUUGUGAGAUCCUUGAGAACUUAUUAUUUUUAUUAAGCUGAAUUUGACAAUAGAGUAGCACCCACAUGUGUAAAGCAGCUACACCCUCAGCAGGCAUGAGUUUUCUGAAGCUCCCUUUUUUAAGUGCUGCCUCUUUUGACUGCUAAGAAAAACAAGAAAGCAACUAAAAGUCUGUGGUGAGCUACACAUUUCAUCACUGUAUAUGGAACUUGUGGCCUAUGAUCACACAAAACCCCAUUUCCUGCUUGAGGUAAAAUAAGACACACAGGCAGUUCAUGUGCACACUGCCUGUUGCUCAGACUAAGAGCUGAGCUGGGACAGAACGGACACACUCAUGCAGAGGGACAAGUGCCACAUGCUUCCUCAGAGCCUGCUCUGUGUGCUGGUGGCCUUGGCUUUGUCUGGAUGUAUUGUGGCCCAGGAAGUGACUCAGGUCCAGUCAACAGCAAGCAGGCAGGAGGGGGAAGAAGUCACCCUGGACUGUUCAUAUGAGACAAGUUAUGUCGUAUAUUAUCUUUCUUGGUACAAGCAGCUUCUUAGUGGAGAUAUAAUUUUCCUUACUCGCCAAAUUUCUUCUUCUACUGCAGAAGAGAGGAGUGGCCGCUAUUCUGUAGUUUUCCAGAAAUCACUCAUGUCCAUCAGCCUUGUCAUUUCAGCCUCUCAGCCAGAGGAUUCAGGGAAGUAUUUCUGUGCUCUCAGUGAUUUGACACAGUGUUAGAAGUGACAGCACAAGCUGAACAAAAACUGGGGCUCCCUAAACAGAAGCCCUCUGAGGGAGGGAGCCCAGCUGAGAUGCACACCUGCACAUCCUGAACAAGAAGAUCUCAACUGUGGAUGCUCCGUCUGUGUCUGCAUCAGAACUGUGUUUCUAAGUAAAACCUCAGGGCAUGCAAUUGAGAAAGAAUUAUGAACAUACCUCAGAGGAGGCAUCUGGAAUAGCAAAGAGCAUAAUUUCCUGGAGAAAGUUACACUCAGAAGGAGAUCCAGCAUGAGUGAAGUAGUCAGAGACAGACUAUAAGGAUUUCUCUCCAUGAAAUACUGGUGGUGACUGAGUUACUCCACCAAUCUUUACCUUUGUAUCUAGUACUGAGCCUGAGGUACUGAAGGUCAGCAGUUGGGGAGGACAGGUAAAUGAGUAUAGCACCUGGCUGUCCUGAGACUUGUGAGAAUUCAGUGAGACUCAGAAAGCCAAUGGAAUCUAGAAGGAUAAACCUCCCUCACCUCCUCAGUCCCUCUGGUUUGGGGGAGCAUCAGAAGAAGUCACGCCAUUUGCCAACGUGAUACACACAGACUCAACCUGAAUAAAGAAAAGCUGCAGAAGUGAGGAGUAGAGUGUCAAUGGUAAAGUCAGCUGGAAUCUAAUGGACAUCAAAUAUUUAUGGGGCCUGAAUCUGCAGGGCUAUAUAAAAAUAAUUAAAUAUAUCACUCCUGUUUCUUAAUUCUUCUACAGUUGCCUUUUCCAUGUCCACCCCCAAAACACAGCAACAUGUUUCCAGAUAUGUUUUUAAAGAUUAUUUUUUAUAUCAUGUGUGUAACCUUUUUGUCAGCAUGUAUAUAUGUGUACUGGGUGAAGUCUGGUGCUCAUUGAGGCCAGAAGGGGAUAUUAGAUUCUGGAAAUUGGAGUUAUCGAAGGAAAGGAUUUACCAUGUGAAUGUCAGGCACUGAAUCUAAGUCCUCUGCUAAAGCAGUGACUGCUUUUAACUAGUGAGUGUAUGUUCCAGGUCCUGUUUCUACGUAAUUUGUAUAAACUGUACAUGAUAAAGGAGGUAAAUAACUUCAAUUCACCAAUUAAAAACCAUAGGCUACCUGGGGGCAUUAACAAAGAAUACUAUCUGUGUCUCCAGGAAACACUUCCUACAGCUAAGUACAUCAAACACUGAAAGUCAAACCAUAGAGAUCAGCAUCGGACGUAAUUGAGAGCUGUAGUCAUGGCACUGCACGUCUCAUAUUUGACAAAGAAGACUUCAGACCACAGCUAGUCAGAGAGCUGAGGAGAGUCACUGCAUAGCCACAGAGGGUAAGUCUUGUGCAUGUGAGUACAUGGAGCAUGGCUCCCCGUUCAACAAAAUAAACUCUAAUUGACAGAAAAUGUCACAUGGGUCUCUAAUCAGUAAUGAUCUUAGACUUCAAUGUUUCCCUGUGACUUUAGCAAGUCUUCCUAAAUUAAAAAACUACAAGGAAACUGCAAAGCAAAAGAUUCUGCAAGCCCACCUCUCUGAGUUUGGCAGGAGAAUCCCAGGCAGGGAAGGGAAGCCAAUGUGCACUCAGAGAACUCACUGAAUGCAAGCAACAGAAUCUUAGCAGAUGUAAAAUUUAUGAUCUUUACUGUAAGAAGCAAAAGCCUGAUAAGUCAACAAGGGACACAAAUUUUAAAGAAUGUUUUAAUGAAUAAAUAAGUGUAAUAUCCUAUGAAUUUGUUUGUAGUUGCCCUUUUUAAAGAUUCCUCAGGAGUAGAAUAGCUGGGUCCUGUUGUUGUAAAAAUA
rnacentral:sRNA from 1 species